rnacentral:rRNA from 1 species
CCUACGGUAGGCAGCAGUGGGGGAUAUUGCACAAUGGGGGGAACCCUGAUGCAGCGACGCCACGUUGGUGACGGAGCGUUUCGGCGCGUAAAGCCCUAUCGGCAGGGAAGAAGAUGACGGUACCUGACCAAGAAGCCCCGGCUAACUACGUGCCAGCAGCCGCGGUAAUACGUAGGGGUCAAGCGUUAUCCGGAUUUACUGGGUGUAAAGGGGGCGCAGCAGGCAAUGCAAGCCAGGAGGGAAAGCCCGGGGCCCAACCCCGGGACUGCUCUGGGAACUGCAUGGCUGGAGUACAGGAGGGGCAGGCGGAAUUCCGAGUGUAGCGGUGAAAUGCGUAGAUAUUAGGAGGAACACCGGUGGCGAAGGCGGCCUGCUGGACUGUGACUGACGCUGAGGCACGAAGGCCAGGGGAGCGAAAGGGAUUAGAUACCCGUGUAGUC